UUUACUAGUAGAAAGAAAGAGAGGGAGAGGAAGAAUUCUGAAAGAGAAAAAGAAGAAUGAAGUUUUGAGCUUUGGAAAAGGAAGGCUUAAGGACUGAAGGACUUUGUUAGAGCCCGACAAAGCUUAAGGAAAGAGUUAGCUAGCUUGGAAGUAAGGCUUCUGCAAAAGCUCCCAUUUGUUUUCGGACAUCAGAAGGAUCUACAUCAUAAAAAAUUGGUAGAAUUUUGUCGACCUCCUUGCAGUCAACAAUAUUUGAAACCUCAUCUAAGCACCAGGUGGAAGAAGCAUAGUUUGGUGAGAGGAUAACGAUGACAAACCAUGAUUCUUCGAUUGCUCUCAGUAGAUUUGGAGAAAUAGUUCUACCUCUUUCAAGUUCAUUGUUGUCCCUGAAAGUUGUAAUUGACCGCCACCACAAUCUGUCAUAUAGAUGAUCGGUAAAACCCUUGCGAGUGUCUAUGCCCCUAAAGCUCAAGAACACGUGGUGUUUCCAUGUAGAAGCUGAAGGAGCAGACGUGGAGGCUCUUUGCCUGCUGAAAGCCAUUCGGCAGUGGAUUCCAAGUAAUCUGCUAGAAACACAAAAGAUAGAAUAACUUUCGGUACAAAAUAUUACAAAGUUGACGAAAAUGAAACUUAAAAUCAUACCAGAGAGGGAUUGUUUCAAGGAACGGAAAUCAGAGAGAGAAAGAGAGUACGCCCCAGUGUGAAAGGUGAAACAGUCGAAGAACAGAGAGAAAUAUUUAAUUAUUAGAGGGCAGGCCUAGGGGUGUGUUUGGUGAAACCAAAGAAGAGACAUGGGAAGAGAUAGAUGUUGUUUGACUUCGUGAGGGAGUGGAACAUAAACAAAUGGUUGAAGCGAUAGAAGAGGAGUUGGAGCGUUGCGCGUGCAAAGCCAAGACCGGUAAGUUACAAGUUUGGGCCCAAGCUCCGAUUUUGUGCCCAUGACCUGCCGUUUCGAAGGGAACGGCGCCACGAGUAAAACUCAUUGCUUUUCUAUGAUGUAUGAGCUCUCAUUUAGCAGCCCAAACGGGCCUUUUAAUACCUUGCAAAUUUUUAGAAACUUUUGUUAAUUUUCCUUUUUAAUUCCUUAUUGUUUCCUAGGGUUUUUAGGAGUAUUUAAACCAACUUUAGCCCGUAGUUAAAAUUGAGGUAUUCUCAUCUCUAGUGGAUUCCAAGCUUGGUUCUCUUAGAUAAUCAUUUGAUUGCCUCAUUAUUUUGUCACACUGCGUCACUAUCCUUGCAAUUUUUCUUGCUUAGUAUGUAUUUGUCUAUCAUUUUGUUGCAAUUGUGAACUUCUGUUGGUGAAUUUUUUAUUUCAUUUCAUUACACUACAUAAGAAAACCAAGUAUUUACGGCGCGCCAUUUACGACAUGCGUAUUGUGCUCACCCUAAAUGACUUUGUUCCUUUGUUUUUUUACGGCAAGCUUUGAGUGCACGCUAUGUUUUUUUGUUAGUAAUGGCAUGCUAGAUACACGCGCCAUAAACUCUAAUACCCAUUUUUGGUAUAUAUAUAUAUGAUUCUCUAUUGGUUAUAAG